CCUACGGGCGGCAGCAGUGAGGAAUAUUGGUCAAUGGACGAGAGUCUGAACCAGCCAAGUAGCGUGAAGGAUGACUGCCCUAUGGGUUGUAAACUUCUUUUAUAUGGGAAUAAAAUGUUCCACGUGUGGGAUUUUGUAUGUACCAUAUGAAUAAGGAUCGGCUAACUCCGUGCCAGCAGCCGCGGUAAUACGGAGGAUCCGAGCGUUAUCCGGAUUUAUUGGGGGUAAAGGGAGCGUAGGUGGAUUGUUAAGUCAGUUGUGAAAGUUUACGGCUCAACCGUAGAAUUGCAGUUGAAACUGGCAGUCUUGAGUACAGUAGAGGUGGGCGGAAUUCGUGGUGUAGCGGUGAAAUGCUUAGAUAUCACGAAGAACUCCGAUGGCGAAGGCAGUUCACUGGACUGCAACUGACACUGAGGCGCGAAAGUGUGGGUAUCAAACAGGAUUAGAUACCCCAGUAGUC
rnacentral:rRNA from 1 species